rnacentral:rRNA from 1 species
CCCUGCAGUUCUCGCCUGUUUUCUUGCCUGGUUUCCAGGGUUGAGCUUGGCCAGUACCUGGAUGGGAGACCUCCUGGGGAAAACUAAUGUUGCUGCUGGAA